rnacentral:lncRNA from 1 species
GUGCUGGGUCUGGUUGGAGUGCUGCUCCCACGCCGACUUCCCCUUGGCGCACUCUUAUGGUCUUUCCCUUGCAAGGAAAUGCAUCCUCGGGUGGAUCUGGAGGGCUAACAGUCAGCAUGUAACUGAGGCCCUCAGUCCAAAAACCCUCAAAGGGUUUGUUGAUUUCUGACAACAGUCAUGUGAACUUAGAGCUGAUCCCUCCCCAGUUAAGCCUUCAGAUGAGACGCCAACUCUGACCAACACCUUGAUUUCAGUCUUGAGAGACUCUGAAGCAUAGGACCCUGCUGAGCCAUACCUGGAUUCCUGACCCAUGGAAAGGAUAAUGUGAGAGAGAAAGGGACUAUCUGAGCACUGGGGUUGGAGUCACAGAAGGACCACGCAAGGCUUCAGUGUUGAAGGUUUUGACUGUGGAGAAAAGAGUAACAAGAAUGUCAGCAGAGGCAUUUCGUAUCCUAAUUUUAACAUGACUGAAGCUGUAUGUCUGUUGGUUCCUGCUUGACCUUCAGAUGUUCCACAUCCUCCAAGAGCACUUCAGAAUGUCCAUGUUCAUGGUCUGGAGCCUGAAGGCAGGUAGGCAUAUUUGGUUAAAGAGGGGGAUUAUAGGAGUACAAGCUAAUACUAAAUGAAAGAUAUCACAUGGAACUAUAUGAAACAUUUUCUAGAGAGAUGUCACAGUGGAAGGACCAGAGUUUAAUUCAUUACCCAAAAGCAAAACAGGGAAGAGUGGCCCAAUCAA